rnacentral:lncRNA from 1 species
AGUGCUGUAGAUUCUGAAGUCAGAGCUGGCAGCAUUACUGAUGGCUCAGGAUGAAAAAGCACCUUCCGGCUCCGAUGAGGUAUGAAGGCAGCCUUAGAAGCAUCCAUCAGAUACCCAAGGGGAAUCCCAUCAUCCAGUUUGACAGAAAUAAUAGCAGAACAAAUAGACACAGGACACUGGCCACUCCUUUCAUCAACUCUUAGCACAUGCCUGUGAGGCACAGGGCUGCUCACAGCCACCACCACUGUGGAGAGCUGGACCCCACUCCAGCCUGCCUACCUUUGAUGGACAGGUGGAGUGUCUAUAAUCCCACGGAGGUUCUGUCCCUGUGCCUGCAGUCUGUUGGUCACGGUUUUGCGACUGAAACAGUUGGCCUGCUGAGGACGGGUGGCUGAGCCUGGGUCUUAGGGGACGGACAGGCUCAGGUUCGAUACCUGAUACAUGCUCUGAUAAUGCUGCGGUUCUGCACAGGAGAAGGUAUGGCGCUCCUGGAAGAACGU